GUGCUUGCUUUAGCAGCACAUAUACUAAAAUUGGAAUAAUACAGAGAAGAUUAGCAUGGUCCCUUGCCUGGGUGAUACACAAAUUCAUGAAGCAUUCCAUAUUUUA